CCACUCAGAAUUUUUGAUGAAUUUAGUUAAGUCUGCAGAUGGACUUCCUUCCGCGAUCAGCAACAAACAAAAGAAGAGUCUAUCAAAACAAAAGGAAGCGGCAGCGAUGGCGACAAAUUGGGCAGAUGAAGCUCCGGCGACGUAGACAAAAUGUGUAGAUGAAGGAGAAGUAAAUUCUGCGUCUCCUUUGCUGGCGAGUCAAAGUUUGGGUUCUUCUUUGGCAUCGUCGAUGUUUUUUACGAUUUUGUGAAUGGGGGAAAUAUGAGUAGACAUAGUAAACUCAGAAACCGAUACACCCUAAUAGUG